UACGAAGGGUGCAAACGUUGCUUGAUGAUUGGUGCGUAAAGCGCACGUAGGCGGCUUAGCAAGUCCCAUGUGAAAUCCCACGGCUUAACCGUGGAAGUGCAUGGGAAACUGCUGAGCUUGAGUACUUAAGAGGAUCGCGGAAUUCCCGGUGUAGAGGUGAAAUUCGUAGAUAUCGGGAGGAACACCAGUGGCGAAGGCGGCUCACUGGCUCGUAACUGACGCUCAUGCACGACAGCGUGGGGAUCAAACAGG
rnacentral:rRNA from 1 species